UUAUAGAGUUAUCACAACUCCAAACCCAUGUGAACAUACCUUAUUGUUGCCUCGGCAGGUCGUAGACUGCUGGGAAAGGCCCUACCCCUUAGCUGGGAGGCCUACCCGGGAGCUGCGGUCAAGCCUGCCGGUGGCCCGCAAAACUCUGUUUAGCAUUGAAAUUCUGAAUCAUAACUAAAUAAGUUAAAACUUUCAACAACGGAUCUCUUGGUUCUGGCAUCGAUGAAGAACGCAGCGAAAUGCGAUAAGUAAUGUGAAUUGCAGAAUUCAGUGAAUCAUCGAAUCUUUGAACGCACAUUGCGCCCAUUAGUAUUCUAGUGGGCAUGCCUGUUCGAGCGUCAUUUCAACCCUUAAGCCCCUGUUGCUUAGUGUUGGGAGACUACGUCCUCGGCGUAGCUCCUCAAAGUUAGUGGCGGAGUUAGUUCAAACUCUAGGUGUAGUAAAUUUCUUCUCGCCUCUGCAGUUGGGCUGCCCCUUGCCGUAAAACACCCUAAAUUUUAAAAGGUUGACCUCGGAUCAGGUAGGAAUACCCGCUGAACUUAAGCAUAUCAAUAAGCGGAGGAAAAGAAACCAACAGGGAUUGCCCUAGUAACGGCGAGUGAAGCGGCAACAGCUCAAAUUUGAAAUCUGGCCUUCGGGUCCGAGUUGUAAUUUGUAGAGGAUGCUUUUGGCGCGGUGCCUUCCGAGUUCCCUGGAACGGGACGCCUUAGAGGGUGAGAGCCCCGUACGGUUGGACACCAAGCCUCUGUAAAGCUCCUUCGACGAGUCGAGUAGUUUGGGAAUGCUGCUCUAAAUGGGAGGUAAAUUUCUUCUAAAGCUAAAUAUUGGCCAGAGACCGAUAGCGCACAAGUAGAGUGAUCGAAAGAUGAAAAGCACUUUGAAAAGAGGGUUAAAUAGCACGUGAAAUUGUUGAAAGGGAAGCGUUUGCGACCAGACCUUUUCCUGGUGGAUCAUCCGGUGUUCUCACCGGUGCACUUCGCUAGGUUGAGGCCAGCAUCGGUUUCUGUAGGGGGAUAAAAGCUUGGGGAAUGUAGCUCCUUCGGGAGUGUUAUAGCCCCUUGCAUAAUACCCUUACGGGGACCGAGGACCGCG
rnacentral:rRNA from 1 species